UACGAAGGGGGCUAGCGUUGUUCGGAUUUACUGGGCGUAAAGCGCAUGUAGGCGGGCUGUUAAGUUAGGGGUGAAAUCCCGAGGCUCAACCUCGGAACUGCCUCUAAAACUGGCAGCCUGGAGCAGAUGAGAGGCGAGUGGAAUUCCGAGUGUAGAGGUGAAAUUCGUAGAUAUUCGGAGGAACACCAGUGGCGAAGGCGACUCGCUGGCAUCUUGCUGACGCUGAGAUGCGAAAGCGUGGGGAGCAAACAGG
rnacentral:rRNA from 1 species